UAUUAGUAGGAGGCUGCUUCCGGGUGAGGAAAAGGGGGCAUGAGAAGUUCUGUGGAAAAAAUAUUAAGCGCUAUGGCGAAUCUAGAAAGGGCUUUCGUGCACAGUCGGUAACAGAUUCUCGCUCGAUAGAUAUGAGCUCAGAUCAUGCAGAAAAAACUGAGAAAUCUACUGCCAGUAUUACAAUUCCGGAUGAUGGCAUUCGCUUCUGGAAGGAAGAAAAAGUUGACGGUGCAGUUUAUGGAAUAUACCU